UAAAAUGCCUAACACGGCGUCGUCUUCACAAGCCUCUGCCCUCUGCGCUCUUCCCCGACAAAUAUCUAGCCCUUAAAAAAGGAAAUGCCUUCUUUAUAGAGAUCCACAAAACCGCCACUCCCUCUGUAACAACGAACCGAUCUCUCCUCUCUCGUCUUUCUCAAUGAAUUCUCCAUCUCCAGCUUCGUACGGUUCCUUCCCACCCACCGAACCCUCGUCCACCUUCCUCACACGCGCCACCAAUACGACAUCCACCAUCUUCGCCACCCGCCGCCCAUGGCGCGAAUUAAUUGAAUUCUCCUCCUUCGCGCGCCCAGGCUCCCUCGGCGAUACCACAAUCCGCAUAAAACGGAACCUCUCCUACUUUCGCGUUAAUUACACAAUGAUAAUCCUCUCUAUCCUCUUCUUAAGCCUCUUAUGGCACCCUCUCUCAAUGAUUGUCUUCUUGAUCGUCUUCGUCGCCUGGUUUUUCCUUUACUUCUUUCGUGACCAGCCAUUGGUGAUUUUCCACCGCACGAUUGAUGAUCGUGUGGUGCUUGGUUUGCUCGGUGUCGCUACUAUUGUUGCUUUGAUUUUCACACACGUGUGGUUAAAUGUCUUGGUUUCGCUUUUGAUUGGAGCUGCUAUUGUUGUCUUGCACGCUGCGUUUAGAAGAACUGAUGAUAUGUAUUCGGAUGACCAAGAUGUGGCUGAUGGAAGUUUGCUGUCUUUUGUGGGGAGUCCUACGAGAGCGGGCCACGCUCGCUUUUAAAACUCUCAUGUUGUAAGAGUGCGCCGAUGAGUUACCAGCCCAUUGGUGUAAAUAGAUUGGUGCUAUUGCCUGUGUUGUUUCUUUUGAUGUGAACUUGGUUACAGUACACAAACAUCCGGAUAUAGCAGGGUUCAAGGUUGGUGUUCCAGUGGAAGUCUGGGAUCUGAACUUAGAAAUGCAAGCGAAGCAUGCUACUAGUCUUCUUUUUUUGUGUAAAAUUUUUUGAAAGAGAUGAUCCGGAUGGUCGCCCAUAAGUUUCGAAGUACGAAGCUUUCUUUAUACGCAAUAACGUUGAGUAUCUUGGAUUGUAAUGAAAAUAUUGCGGAAAAAUUUUCAUUUAAAGGUGGAUCUAUUGCAUUGGCUCCAUUUGAGGAACUUGCAAGUGAAGAAUUGACAAAGGAAAGUUAGCAAUAUUGCUGUCACUGGCCAUGCAAAGUUAGUGGCUUUCCCGUUGUCACAAUCCAUGUUUUGGUGACUUUAAAAGCUUCUUUCACCAUGGGUCUUCCUUUCCCCGCUAGUUUUUUGGCAGAGUUCUUGGUUCCUAGCUUGUUUUGUGCCUGAUUGGAGGAGUGGUUCCGGAAGUGAUCUCUUUUUCUUACUGGGUCUAUGGAACGUGUAAGAUUAUUUUCUUUGGCAAAUAAUGAUGAUUCAGUGGCGAUCUCUUUAAGUACACUAUAACCAUAAUAUCUGCUUAUGCUUAUGGUCUUUUCACGAA